GUGAACGCUGGCGGUAGGCCUAACACCUGCAAGUCGAACGGCAGCACAGUAAGAGCUUGCUCUUACGGGUGGCGAGUGGCGGACGGGUGAGGAAUACAUCGGAAUCUACUUUUUCGUGGGGGAUAACGUAGGGAAACUUACGCUAAUACCGCAUACGACCUACGGGUGAAAGCAGGGGAUCUUCGGACCUUGCGCGAUUGAAUGAGCCGAUGUCGGAUUAGCUAGUUGGCGGGGUAAAGGCCCACCAAGGCGACGAUCCGUAGCUGGUCUGAGAGGAUGAUCAGCCACACUGGAACUGAGACACGGUCCAGACUCCUACGGGAGGCAGCAGUGGGGAAUAUUGGACAAUGGGCGCAAGCCUGAUCCAGCCAUACCGCGUGGGUGAAGAAGGCCUUCGGGUUGUAAAGCCCUUUUGUUGGGAAAGAAAAGCAGCAGGUUAAUACCCCGCUGUUCUGACGGUACCCAAAGAAUAAGCAUCGGCUAACUUCGUG
rnacentral:rRNA from 1 species